GUUGUUGCUGGCCCCUGUAUGGGGGCAUGUGCACGCUCUGUUUACACAUCCACUCACACCUGUGCACCCUCUGUAGUUCUAUAGCCUGGAGGGCCCUGUCCUCCUGCUGUGGUUCUACGUCUUUACACACACACAUUGAAAUAAAGUCUAAUGGAAUGUAUGUCGCGUUUAACGCAAUGAAAUACAACUUUCAGCAACGGAUCUCUUGGCUCUCGCAUCGAUGAAGAACGCAGCGAAAUGCGAUAAGUAAUGUGAAUUGCAGAAUUCAGUGAAUCAUCGAAUCUUUGAACGCACCUUGCGCCCUUUGGCUAUUCCGAAGGGCAUGCCUGUUUGAGUAUCAUGAACACCUCAACUCUCAUGGCUUGCCGUGAUGAGCUUGGACUUUGGGGGUCUUGCUGGCCUGUGGUCGGCUCCUCUCAAAUGAAUCAGCUUGCCGGUGUUUGGUGGGAUCACAGGUGUGAUAACUAUCUACGCUUGUGGUUUUCCACCAGGUAACCCUCAGCAAUGGAGGUUCGCCGGAGCUUACAAAUGUCUCUCCCCAGCGAGGACAGAUUUUGACCGUUUGAUCUCAAAUCAGGUAGGACUACCCGCUGAACUUAAGCAUAUCAAUAAGCGGAGGAAAAGAAACUAACAAGGAUUCCCCUAGUAACUGCGAGUGAAGCGGGAAGAGCUCAAAUUUAAAAUCUGGCGUGCCUCUGGCCGUCCGAGUUGUAGUCUGGAGAAGCGUUUUCCGUGCUGGACCGUGUAA
rnacentral:rRNA from 1 species